GCAUGUCUAAGUAUAAGCAAAUCUAUACUGUGAAACUGCGAACGGCUCAUUAAAUCAGUUAUAGUUUAUUUGAUGGUACCUUACUACAUGGAUAACUGUGGUAAUUCUAGAGCUAAUACAUGCCGAAAAGGCCCCUCACGGGGUUGUAUUUAUUAGAUUAAAGACCGUUGGCUUCGGCCAUUGGGUGAAUCAUGAUAACUGCUCGAAGCGUAUGGCCUUGCGCCGACGCUACUUCAUUCAAAUACCUGCCCUAUCAGCUUGUCGGUAGUGUAGUGGACUACCGUGGCGUUAACGGGUAACGGGGAAUAAGGGUUCGAUUCCGGAGAGAGGGCCUGAGAAACGGCCCUCAUAACUAAGGUUAGCAGCAGGCGCGCAAAUUAUCCACUCUCGAUUCGAGGAGAUAGUGACAAUAAAUAACAAUAGAGGGCUCUUUUGGGUCUUCUAAUUGGAAUGAGAACAAUCUAAAUCCCUUAACGAGGAUCAAUUGGAGGGCAAGUCUGGUGCCAGCAGCCGCGGUAAUUCCAGCUCCAAUAGCGUAUAUUAAAAUUGUUGACGUUAAAAAGCUCGUAGUCGACUUUCGGCCUCAGCCAACCGGUCCGCUCUUGUAGUGUGUACUGGAUUUGGUUGGGGCUUUACCUCCUGGUGAGCUGGCAUGGCCUUUAUUGGUUGUGUCAGGGAACCCGGAACUUUACUUUGAAUAAAUCAGAGUGUUCAAAGCAGGCAUGUUUGCCCGAAUGUUACAGCAUGGAAUAAUAGAAUAGGAUGUGUGCCUCUAUUGGUCUUUUAGAGGCACCUUAAUGAGAAAUAGGGGCGGCUCGGGGGCAUUUGUAUUCAAUUGCUAGAGGUGAAAUUCUUGGAUUUAUUGAAGACAAACUACUGCGAAAGCAUUUGCCAAGGACGCUUUCAUUGAUCAAGAACGAAGGUCGGGGGAUCGAAAACGAUUAGAUACCGUUGUAGUCUCGACAGUAAACUAUGCCAACCGGCGAUGGGUGGGGGUUUUCUUAAUGACCCCAUCUGCAGCCAAAGAGAAAUCUUGAGUGCGGUUCGUGGGGGAGUACGGUCACAAGGCUGAAACUUAAAGGAAUAUGACGGGAAAA
rnacentral:rRNA from 1 species